AGGAUUCACCUCGUGCACUAGCCU
rnacentral:siRNA from 1 species